rnacentral:rRNA from 1 species
CCUACGGGAGGCAGCAGUGGGGAAUAUUGGGCAAUGGGCGCAAGCCUGACCCAGCAACGCCGCGUGAAGGAAGAAGGCUUUCGGGUUGUAAACUUCUUUUCUCAGGGACGAAGAAAGUGACAGUACCUGAGGAAUAAGCCACGGCUAACUACGUGCCAGCAGCCGCGGUAAUACGUAGGUGGCAAGCGUUCUCCGGAUUUACUGGGUGUAAAGGGCGUGUAGGCGGGACUGCAAGUCAGAUGUGAAAACCACGGGCUCAACCUGUGGCCUGCAUUUGAAACUGUAGUUCUUGAGUACUGGGGAGGCAGGCGGAAUUCGUAGUGUAGCGGUGAAAUGCGUAGAUAUUAGGAGGAACACCAGUGGCGAAGGCGGUCUGCUGGACAGCAACUGACGCUGAGGCGCGAAAGCGUGGGGAGCAAACAGGAUUAGAUACCCCAGUAGUC